CCACGUCACCAAUUUUCAAAUCGGGUUUCUUCCAAGUCCCGGACCAUUCAUCUAAAUCAUUGGCCGCUGCUCAUGAGUCUGUGCAGACUUGUACCUCGAGUCACUUCUUCCAAAGAAAAUGGUAAGGCCCAGGCUGGAUUCAAACCUGCCAGCUCCAGUGUAUGUGGCUGGCACCCUAGCCACUGAACUACAGGCACUGAGCCCCAACUCUCACAUUCUAAAGGAGGGAAAAAACUGGCAGUAGCAGAAAGACCCAUUAAUAACAAUAUUCAUUUG